AAGAGAAGUACAUGUUGGUUAGGAUUUGAUUAGACUUGUUAGGCAUAUGGACUUAGUUUAGAUGACAUGGCAAUAGGCUAGAGAAUGUUGGGAGUUCCUUUGUUUUCAAAACCUCUUCCACGGGUUCGGCUUUUGG
rnacentral:sRNA from 1 species